rnacentral:rRNA from 1 species
UGCAGCGACGCCGCGUGAGGGAGAAGGCCUUCGGGUUGUAAACCUCUUUCAGCAGGGACGAAGCGAAAGUGACGGUACCUGCAGAAGAAGCACCGGCUAACUACGUGCCAGCAGCCGCGGUAAUACGUAGGGUGCGAGCGUUGUCCGGAAUUACUGGGCGUAAAGAGUUCGUAGGCGGUUUGUCGCGUCGUCUGUGAAAACCCAUCGCUCAACGAUGGGCCGGCAGGCGAUACGGGCAGACUUGAGUACUGCAGGGGAGACUGGAAUUCCUGGUGUAGCGGUGAAAUGCGCAGAUAUCAGGAGGAACACCGGUGGCGAAGGCGGGUCUCUGGGCAGUAACUGACGCUGAGGAACGAAAGCGUGGGUAGCAAACAGGAUUAGAUACCCUGGUAGUCCACGCCGUAAACGGUGGGCGCUAGGUGUGGGUUCCUUCCACGGGAUCUGUGCCGUAGCUAACGCAUUAAGCGCCCCGCCUGGGGAGUACGGCCGCAAGGCUAAAACUCAAAGGAAUUGACGGGGGCCCGCACAAGCGGCGGAGCAUGUGGAUUAAUUCGAUGCAACGCGAAGAACCUUACCUGGGUUUGACAUAUACUGGAAAGCUGCAGAGAUGUAGCCCCCCUUGUGGCCGG